UCUUCUUCUUCUUCUUCCAGGUAAGGAACCGAAUUCAAAUUUUGAAUGUAUGAGGUCCCGCGAAAACUAACGCAAUGUCGGACAACACAGAAAGUUUUCUCUUGGCUAUUUACAGGAUAAAACGUUCUCUAUAUAUAUACAAUUAAAACUAUGUACAGGAUGUUACUGUCUAAAUUUUAGCAGAGCAUGCCUUCAGGGCAGCUCUGAAUCCAUCAACUGUGUCAGCUGAUGUUGCGGAUGUUGGCAGUUGGUUCCAGUCUCUAAUGGUCCUUGGAAAAAAUGAUUGUCCGAAGGCGUCUGUUGUGGCCCUUUCUUGGAAGAAGCGGUUUUUACCUCUGGUCCGGCUAUCGUUUGGUGUCAGAUAUUGGUGCCUAUCUAUGUCUAUCAGAUCAUGUUGGAUUUUGAAUAGCAUGCAUAGCCUAUUUUGUUUCCUGCGGUCUUCGAGGCUUUCCCAUUUUAAAGAUGUUACCAUUUUUGUUACACAGCCAGGUGUGCGGUCUGUGUAGUUGUUGUUUACAAAUCUAGCUGCUCUUUUCUGUACCUGCUCGAUUGCUUUUAUUUUAGCCUGUUUCGUAGGAUCCCAUACUGUGCAAGCAUACUCAACUGAAGGUCUUACUAUUGUUGAAUAUGCUGCUGCUUUGACCGGUUUAGUGCAAUCUUUUAGGUUACGUCGUAUGAAGCCUAGUGUUUUGUUUCCUUUUCCCACUAUGUUGUCGAUGUGUCUGUCCCAGGUUAGAUUAUUGCUGAUAGUAACUCCCAGGUAUUUACUAGCUUCAACGGUGUCCAGUGUGUGUCCGUGUAAUUUGUAAUUAGUUGGUAUUACAGGACGGUUCUUGGGUUGUAUUCUAAUUACAAUGCAUUUUUUUGCAUUGAAGCUCAUUUGCCACUUAUCUUCCCAAUCCUCUAAUGAUGUGAGAUCUUUCUGUAGUAGGUCACUUUCUGCUUGGUUACUGAUAGUUCGAUAGAGGAGGCUGUCGUCUGCAAAAAGUUUGGUCUCUGAUGAUGUUGCUGUUUCUGGCAUGUCGUUUAUGUAGGCCAGGAACAGUAGGGGUCCAAGGACUGUUCCUUGAGGAACACCAGAGAGUACUGGUACUUGUUCAGAGACAGCUCCUUCUAGAAUAACGCUUUGCAUUCUGUUUUGUAGGAAUGAUCUUAUCCACCUGUUUGCUUUAGGAUUUACUC
rnacentral:lncRNA from 1 species